rnacentral:rRNA from 1 species
GACGAACGCUGGCGGCGUGCUUAACACAUGCAAGUCGAACGGAAAGGCCCUGCUUUUGUGGGGUGCUCGAGUGGCGAACGGGUGAGUAACACGUGAGUAACCUGCCCUUGACUUUGGGAUAACUUCAGGAAACUGGGGCUAAUACCGGAUAGGAGCUCCUGCUGCAUGGUGGGGGUUAGAAAGUUUCGGCGGUUGGGGCUGGACUCGCGGCUUAUCAGCUUGUUGGUGGGGUAGUGGCUUACCAAGGCUUUGACGGGUAGCCGGCAUGGGAGGGGGGCCGGCGACAUGGGGCCUACGGUACGCAGCAGACUCGAACGGGAGGCAGCAGUGGGGAACAUUGCGCAGUGGGCGGAAGCCUGAUGUGGCGACGCUGCGUGCGGGAUAACGGCCUUCGGGUUGUAAACAACUUUCGCCUGUGACGAAGCGGGAGUGACGGUAAUGGGUAAAGAAGCACCGGCUAACUACGUG